rnacentral:lncRNA from 1 species
ACCCUGGACACAGCGGCGAAAACAGCCGUGUGAUGUAACGGCGCCUCUGUGGAAAUCGCAGGUACGCCUGACUGACUCACCUGACCCCGUGCGAUUGCAGCGUUCGCUCCUUCGGCCCCUAAUCUGGACUCCUUUUCCCCACUUCCACGGUGGAGGGAACCCAGCUUUCACCCGUGGCCUAUUGAAACACUGUGUGCUUUAUUGCUGUACAGAAGCUCAGGUGGGUGGAAGCGGCAGUGAUCUCUGUUACCAGAACGUGGUUGUGAUUAUCAUCGUAUGCAUAUGACUAACCCUCCACUCCUCACUACAGGUGAAACUGCAUCCUGCCGUGUCCUGCUGAGUCAUGCUACCUGACUGACUGUU